AGGGUAGGGAUAGAGUAGGGUUAGGGUUAGGGCUGGGUUAGGAGCAGGGUUAGGAGUAGGGUUAUGGUAAGGUUAGGGGUAAGUUUAGGGGUGGGGUUAGGAAUAGGGUUAGGGUUACCCUACCCUACCCCUAACCCUACUCCAACCACUAACCCUUACCCUACCCCAACCACUAACCCUACCCUACCCUACCCUAUCCCCUAAGCCUACCCCAACCACUAACCCUACCCUACCCUAUCCCCUAACCCUA